UUUUUUUUCGAAAUAAAUGUUUGAAUUUACAAAACGUUUUUAUUGGGAAGGCAGAUAAUGCAUUGUUAUUAAAAGGAAUUACCUUUGCAUGUGAAAACACAAUCCCACUCAUUACUACACGUGCGUGGCUAUGUCACGUUUGUUUUGGUCAGUGUUCGCGGUCGGCGAGCGCUGGGCACUGGCUCACGCCCCGGAGGCAGCCCCGUUCCAAAACGAAAGCAAUCACGUUUCACCCGGUUCAAACUCUUCGGGCCAGAUAAGCGAACCCCCUCCGUGAUUGCAGUCUCAGACUAAUUUGCCUAUGUAGCGGACGAGACAUUAGCCGAAUAAUUUAGUUUUAAUCGUCAUGCUACCGGACUAAGACUCCACCAGGUAAAUGCCACCCUGGCCCAAUCAGGGGCUCUUUCAAAACCGUUAAAAAAACAUGAUCAUUGUUAUUGGACAAAAUCAGAUAGUCCCGCCUCCAUUUAAAACUCCUUAUGCCGUUUUGUGCCUUCUGACCAACGUGAACGUGUGUUGGUCACGUGGUCGUGGGGUGGGGUCAACAGGUAGGUGAGUUGCAUGAGUUUUUCCGUUGAUAAAGUGCAACAUUGCUCUUGCUGGCUGUAACUACUGCCGUGCGCUCUCAAGACAACAUGGAUUUCGAUUUGGCUUCAGCUGUAGGUAAAGAUGAUCAGGUGAAAAAGGAUGAUGCCUCUGGCCAGGAACAGAACGCCCUAUUUGGAUGGGGGAAGAAGAAGGACAAAGAUGGGGAUAAGUGUGUGUCCAAGGACAAAUCAAAGGACCAUGACAAAUCGAAGGACUGUAAGCACCAUGACAAAUCAAAGGACCAUAAGGAGGACAAAGACAAGUCUAAGGAACAUAAAGACAAGAAACAUGGUGACAAGAAGGACAAAGGUCAUAAGAAGAAGAAAGACAAGAAGCCAAAGGAGCAUAAGGACAAAGAUGAUGGGUCAUCAUCUUCCUCGUCCAGCAGCGAUGAGGAUGAAGGCAAGAAGAAGCAUCACUGAUUCUGGUGCUGUGAGGAAGUGCUACUGCCGGUGAACUCUUACAAUGUUUUGUACUGCAAUGUUGCAUGCAUGAUAUUUACUGUGUACUGUUUCCUUGUUGCUCCUGAUCAUGUUUUGAUGUGCCAGACUGUAAAGUAGUGGUUUUACAACCGAAUAUUAAAUAACCCAACAACCAGGAUAUAUGGUGAAUGUCAGACUUCUUUCCUCCCUCGUAAAAAGUCUAAUGUCCACCAGAAGGGGGAGGUGUUCUUCAUUGAAUGUUUAUUUAACCUAUUGAAUUCAAUUGCUUUCAAGUUUUUUUUGUUAAAUUGUCCAGUUCAAAAGAUUGAAUUGCAUUCUCUUUUGUUUAUUUUAGCACAACUUAUGGGAAAGCUCAAUGUUCUUAGUUUGAAAUAAAAAGCAUAAGGGUGCAUAUACCCAAAGGUUUUCUCAACAG
rnacentral:lncRNA from 1 species